GCCAGCGGCUAUGUCACCCUGCAACUUACAAUUGGCAACCCACUGAAGCUAAGCAAGUGUGAGCCUGGUCAGUACCUGGAUAGGAGACCUCCUGGGAAAAACUAAGGUUGCUGCUGGUA
rnacentral:rRNA from 1 species